rnacentral:rRNA from 1 species
UACGGGGGGGGCAAGCGUUGUUCGGAAUUACUGGGCGUAAAGGGCUCGUAGGCGGCCAACUAAGUCAGACGUGAAAUCCCUCGGCUUAACCGGGGAACUGCGUCUGAUACUGGAUGGCUUGAGAUUGGGAGAGGGAUGCGGAAUUCCAGGUGUAGCGGUGAAAUGCGUAGAUAUCGGAAGGAACAUCAGUGGCGAAAGCGGCUUCCUGGACCAGAACUGACGAUCAGGCUCGAAAGCGUGGGGAGCAAACAGG